UACGAGGGGGGCGAGCGUUGUUCGGAGUUAUUGGGCGUAAAGGGUGCGUAGGCGGCCUGACAAGUCUGAUGUGAAAUCCCUGGGCUCAACCCAGGGCCUGCAUCGGAAACUGUCGGGCUUGAGUAUGGGAGAGGUGAGUGGAAUUUCCGGUGUAGCGGUGAAAUGCGUAGAUAAUCGGAAGGAACACCUGUGGCGAAAGCGGCUCACUGGACCAUUACUGACG
rnacentral:rRNA from 1 species